rnacentral:rRNA from 1 species
GGGCUGCAGUGGGGAAUUUUGGACAAUGGGGGAAACCCUGAUCCAGCCAUCCCGCGUGAGUGAAGAAGGCCUUCGGGUUGUAAAGCUCUUUCGGAAGUGAAGAAAACUUAUUUCGUAAUAUGUUAUAAGAAUGACGGUAACUUUAGAAGAAGCACCGGCUAACUACGUGCCAGCAGCCGCGGUAAUACGUAGGGUGCGAGCGUUAAUCGGAAUUACUGGGCGUAAAGCGUGCGCAGGCGGUUUUGUAAGUCAGAUGUGAAAUCCCCGAGCUUAACUUGGGAACUGCGUUUGAAACUACAAGACUAGAGUGUGUCAGAGGGGGGUAGAAUUCCACGUGUAGCAGUGAAAUGCGUAGAGAUGUGGAGGAAUAUCAAUGGCGAAGGCAGCCCCCUGGGAUAACACUGACGCUCAUGCACGAAAGCGUGGGGAGCGAACAGGAUUAGAUACCCCGGUAGUC